GGCACUUUUAGUUUUUCAAAAAAAAAAAAAAAAAGCAAGAGCACAGACAUUAACAACUUGUGAAAUAACUGGACGUGCUCUUCAAACAAAAAUAUUCACAUUAUAAAUAGGAAUAUUAUUCUAAUAUUACAUAGACUGAUAAACAAGCAAAAAAAAAAAAAAAAAAAAAAAAAACUGGUUCCAGGUUGACACACAACCAUUUUGCUUUACUGCAGUUGCUGAAUCUUACAGGUGCUCACAUGCAGCAAACAGUGCAUGUGUCACGUGUGCUAUGAAAUUACAGGAUGGAAUGUCAUUGUACUUUCAUUUAAAAAUGUUUUGCUCUAGAAACACUGAUCUGAAGAGAUGGCAUCAGGAUGUUUUGAAACAGGCACACUGCUCUUUGUCUGGAAAGGGAAAAGAAGGCACCCAGCUGUGCUGACCCUGUGCAAGAUAAUUUCACAAGAGUAAACCGUGAAAUUUAAGAUGCCUUAACUGCACUGUAAAGUUGCUGCACCACUGAAAAUAUCAAUGUGUGUGUGAGGCUGUUAUCAUACAGUCUGUGUUGAUGUUAACCCUUUCAGAAGCUCAUGUUUAAAAUGUGGCUACCACACAGACAAAUGGCAGACUGACCAAUGCGCCUUUACAUUUCAACAAAUUAUUACUCUUCUUGUGUGUAAGAAGAGUAAUAGACCAUAAUGACUCCAAUAAAGCUUUUACUAUUACAGGAAAAUGUGGAUGCAGCAAUUUGUGAUUUUGUAAUGUGGUAAUAAUAUUCCCUCCGAAAUCCUUUUUUACUCACUAUGGAUUGAAAUUAGCAACAAAUUAUUUUUUUUUUUUCAAAAGCAUGCAUGAUUUGCUGAAGGUGCAUAUACCUAUUAAACAGACAUAGUUUUUUUUUCUAUGAUUAAGAAAAUGAUCAAAAAAUUGUCAUGACAAUUUCUAGAUUUAAUGUUUUUGAUAAUUACAGGGAUACAGUUUCAAAUGAAGUCUGCUUUCUAUGAUGGGACCUGUUUCAACAGAAACGUAAAUAAAAAAUAACACUGGGAAUAAAAUAUGAAAUACAUUUUGUACAUUUAUUAUGAACUAAACAGUGAACUCUUCUAAUUUGCAGGACUUCAUGGAAUAAUAAUGACACGUUCUCAAAAAUGUAUCAUUACUAUCAAAAAUCUUAUGUAUAAAUCUUGUGUAGAAAAACUGAAAACAUUUUUAAAUGUGUUAAUGUUAUUCUUGCAUAUAUUGUUUCACUACGAACUAUGGUCUAUGUAAAUAUGCUCAGGGAAUAGUCAAGAUUAUUCAAAAGUAAUGCAAUAACAUCUAUACAGACAAAAUAGGGUGCCUGCUGAACACUAGAACUUUACGUCUAGGGACCCCACUGUUGUUGGUGACCUUUUUAAUCUGCGAGGCACAAGCAAACGCGGACAAACGUAUAUCAACCUAAAUUUCAAUUAAUAUGUUGCAGGAACUGCCUAUAGUGCUUGUUUUUGACUACUGACAGGCAGAGUCCCAUAAUGAAAAACAGUCCUUCAUAUUUAAAUAAGGUAAGCAAAACUAAUGGGAAACAGCUACGCUUAAUAAGACUCUCAGAUAUUACGUUAAAGAAUCUUAAUUAACUUGAGAAGUGUCACCUGCCUUUACAUCGUAUUUCAUGUCAAAAUGGCUGCUGCGACAAGAAUUAGCACGAUAUGCAGGGCGGAGACGUUAAAUGUAUCACGUGACCUUCUUACGUCAGCUUGUGCUACUUCUCUAAAAGUUUUACAAGAAAAACCUUAAAUAUAGACGGCAACGACCGGUUUAUGCAUUGACCUCCCUCCCUGCUAUUUGUGCCUGAGGGCGUUAAGGUUGACCUUGUCCUGAGAAAGCAUAGGCUGGCUGCAUGACUCCUCUGGGGAACCGUGUCGCCUCUAACCUGGGCUUGGACGGACGGACGUACGCAAGUGGAAAACUGUGAGGAAAUGGACAUUUGGAGCAGGGAAACCAUGGAGUCAAUUUAGUCACUGUCUACUACCUUUUCGCAUGCAAGUACAAAGCCAGCCUCACACGUUGGUGUUGACAAGAAUUUCUCUCUGAGGAAUUUAGGGACAGAACAAUUCCUAGCAUCUGUUUCCUGCUCUCUUGCUCUGUGUGAAGGAAACAGAGUGUAAAUCACACCAAAUAUAAAUAGAGUCAGGAUUACAUGUUUCAGAAGCUAAAGUUGGUUGCUGUUCCACAGUGUUUUGGUUUUUCAGACACCAACAUUUGUACCUGCUGUAAGAAAUGAAAUAAUUAAAAACACUCAUGUAAAUUAAAUAUAAAAUGCAUUGAUUAGCCUCAAUGAAGUGUAUCGAACCAAGGAUAAUAUUUUCUUCACAUCCUUUAACUCAGAAACUUUGGAUUCAAUGUAAUCUUUGUGUUAAAGUUUAAAGCACAGAAGAGACUAGCAGGAGCCUCCUCAGAUGUAAAUAGAUCAGAGUUCAAUGAACCUCAUCCACAGGACGAAAUGCUAACAUGGUAGAAUAAUGUAUAAUCAUGCUAAUAGGUUGUGUUGAUGAAAAAUAACUAGUCACGUAGCUGGGUAGCUAGUGCAAGCUAAUGCUAGCCAUGUCCAACAUGCACUCCUCUCCUCCCAAAAAACCCCAUCAAAUAUUUUAAUACAGUGUUAUAAUUAUAAAUGUUCAUGGCUAAGUUAAUUUAUCAAUAAAAACCACGUUAUUAUGUACAAGUGAGUCAAAAUAUUAAAUAAAUAGGAUCAAUUUAACCCAAA